rnacentral:rRNA from 1 species
UACGUAGGGACCGAGCGUUGUCCGGAUUCAUUGGGCGUAAAGAGCUCGUAGGCGGCCACUCAAGUCGAAUGUGAAACCUCGAGGCUUAACCUCGAGCCUGCAUUCGAUACUGGGCGGCUAGAGUCUGGUAGGGGGAUCUGGAAUUCCUGGUGUAGCGGUGAAAUGCGCAGAUAUCAGGAGGAACACCCGUGGCGAAAGCGGCUCUCUGGGACGGUACUGACGCUGAGACGCGAAAGCGUGGGGAGCAAACAGG